rnacentral:tRNA from 1 species
GGAAGGCAAUCGUGCCCGGUGGUGCGGCCAGGCUUCAAACUUGGUGGAGGGUGUUAGCCACUCUCGGGUUGGUUCGACUCCAGCUGCUUUCCGCCA